AUGCCCCAGCAGCCGAGGGGUUGGCAGCCCCGGCUCAGCCCCGGUCGCCCCCGGCUCGCGCCGCACAGCUCCUCGCCGCCCCGCGGGCUUCCCGCCUCCGGGCGCGGGGUCGGCGGGGCCGGCGGGGCCGGCGGGGCCGGAGCGGGGCCGGGCGGGGCCGGCGCGGGGUCGCCGCCGGGUCGCCGCCGGGUCGCCGCGGGCUGCAGCACCCCCGCCCCGGCCCAGGCCUCCCGCACCUGCUGGGCGCCCGCGGCUCGUCCCCGGCGCCCGCGCCCCGCCGCGUCCACGUGGAGCUGGGCCCCGCGCCCCGCGCCCGGCCCCGCGCCCGGCCCCGCGCCCGGCCCCGCGCCCGGCCCCGCGCCCCCCGCGCCGCGCCGCCCGCGCCGCCGCGCCCGGGCCCUGGGGCGACCUGUUGAGGACGCGCAGGCCUCGCCGCCGCCGAGCCCGGCCCCGGGGGACGCGGAGCAGCCCCGCCCGGCUCCCCGGGCCCGCCCGCCCGCCGCCCCCGCCCCACGGCCCCGCCGGCCCGCGCCCCGCCCGCCGCACUCACUGGGCCGCGGGCCCCAGGCCUGGCCGCGCGCGAAGGGCCGGCGGCGGGCGGCGCUCACGCGACUCCCCGGCUUCCGGCCCGACCAGGCCCCGCGCGGUCCUCCUCCUGCGCCGCCCCGCCGCCCGCCGCCCGCCGCCCCGCCCGCCGACACAAAGCCCGCGGGCCGCCCGGGGCAGCCGGGAGGGCGGACCCCCAGCCGCCGCCCCCGCCCGCCGCCGCCGCCCCCGCUCCCGGCCAGUCCGCACCAUUCCGCUCCGGCGCUCGCCGCCGCCGCCGCCGCCCGGGCCCGCCGCCCCCACCCCGCCCCCCGGCCCCGGGCGCGCCCCCGCCCCGGCCUCCCCGCCCGGCCCCCGCCGCCCGGCCCCCGGCUCCCCCCGCCCGGCCGCCGCCCUCCCGCCCUCCGCCCUCCGCCCGGCGCCCGGGCCGCCAUGUUUACCGCCCUCGGCCGCGGACCGGCGCCCGGCAGGGAGGGGAGGCCGCGGGCCUGCGGGGCCGCCGCACUUACGGGCUGUGGGCGCCGCGGGCCGGGCGGGGGCGGGCGGGGGCGGGGGGCUCGGCCGCCGCCGCCGCCGCCGCCGCCGCCGCGGAAAGUUUGCGUCCUGCGAGGCCGCGGCGCCGCUCACAUGGCGGGGUGCGCGGGGCGGCCGCUCGCGGGCCCGGCCCCCGCUCCUCCGCCCGCCCCCGGCCGCCGCGCUGGGCUCGGGGCUGCGGGCUGCGGGCUGCGGGCUGCGGGCCGGGGCUGCGGGCCGCGCGCUCCCCCCGCCCCGGCCGCGCCCACACCCACCUUCCCUGCGCCCCGUCCGCCGCGCGGGCCCGAGCGGCCCUCCGCAUGUUCCCCGCCGCGCACAGGCACCGGCCGCGGCGCACGUGAAGGCGACGUACGUGCGGGCGCGCAAAGCUCCGGGCGCUCGCUGCACCGCCGGGCUGGGGCGCGGGCCGCGGGUGCGGGCGGGCGGGAGGGCGGGAGGGCGCGGACCCGCACCGCCCUGCUCGGUGCUGCGCGGUGCUGCGCGGUCCUGCUCGGUGCUGCGCGGUGCUGCACGGUCCUGGAAGAUCCUGCUCGGCCCUGCACGGUGCUGCGCGGUCCUGCUCGGUGCUGCACGGCCCUGCUCAGUGCUGCACGGUCCUGCUCGGUGCUGCGCGGUGCUGCACGGUCCUGGAAGAUCCUGCUCGGUCCUGCGAGGCCCUGCUCGGUGCUGCACGGUCCUGGAAGGUCCUGCACAGCCCUGCUCCGCCCUGCGCGGCCCUGCACGGUGCUGCUCGGUGCUGCACGGUCCUGCUCUGUCCUGCGAGGCCCUGCUUGGUCCUGCUCGGUCCUGCACGGUGCUGCGCGGCCCUGCUCGGUCCUGCACGGUGCUGCUCGGUGCUGCACGGCCCUGCUUGGUGCUGCACGGUCCUGCUCGGUGCUGCACGGUGCUGUGCGGCCCUGCACGGUGCUGCACGGUCCUGCACCGCCCUGCACGGUCCUGCACGGCCCUGCUCGGUGCUGCACGGCAUUGCUCGGCCCUGCUCAAUGCUGCACGGUCGUGCACCGCCCUGCACGGUCCUGCACUGCCCUGCUCGGUGCUGCUCGGUGCUGCACGGCACUGCUCGGCCCUGCACGGUCCUGCACAGCGCUGCUCGGUCCUGCACCGCCCUGCAGGGUGCUGCUCAGUGCUGCACGGUCCUGCACGGCCCCGCACUUCCCUACACCGCCCUGCACAGCCCUGCACCUCCCUGCACGGCCCUACACCGUCCUGCACGGCCCUGCACUUCCCUGCUCGGCCCUGCACCGUCCUGCACGGUCCUGCACAGUCCUGCACCGUCCUGCACGGCCCUGCACCGUCCUGCACUGUCCUGCACGGCCCUGCAGCGUCUUGCACCGCCCUGCACCCUUCUGCACAGUCCUGCACCCGCGCAGCUGCCUGCUGGGGCGGCGGGACCGUGCGCCUUAG
rnacentral:lncRNA from 1 species